rnacentral:misc_RNA from 1 species
AGAACCCGUGGCAGCCCUCAG